AUUGAACGCUGGCGGCAUGCCUAACACAUGCAAGUCGAACGGUAACAGGAAACAUCUUGCUGUUUCGCUGACGAGUGGCGGGCGGGUGAGUAAUGUCUGGGAAACUGCCUGAUGGAGGGGGAUAACUACUGGAAACGGUAGCUAAUACCGCAUAACGUCGCAAGCCCAAAGAGGGGGACCUUCGGGCCUCUUGCCAUCAGAUACUCCCAGGUGGGAUUAGCUAGUAGGUGGGGUAACGGCUCACCUAGGCGACGAUCUCUAGGUGGUCUGAGAGGAUGACAGGCCACACUGGAACUGAGACACGGUCCAGGCUCCUACGGGAGGCAGCAGUGGGGAAUAUUGGACAAUAGGCGCAAGCCUGAUGCAGCCAUGCCGCGUGUAUGAAGAAGGCCUUCGGGUUGUAAAGUACUUUCAGCGGGGAGGAAGGGAGUAAGGUUAAUACCUUUGCUGAUUGACGUUACCCGCAGAAGAAGCACCGGCUAACUACGUG
rnacentral:rRNA from 1 species